UCAUUCGAGGAGGUAGUGACUAUCAAUAACGAGACAGAUCUCUUUGAGGUCUGUCAUUGAAAUGAGCACAACUUAAAGACUUUAACGAAGCUAUGGGAGGGCAAGUCUGGUGCCAGCAGCCGCGUAAUUCCAGCUCCCAACGUGUAUAUCGUCAUUGCUGCGGAUAAAAAAGCUCGUAGUUGGAUCUUAGCUUAUGACAGUAGUUCACCAUGUGUGAUACUGCGUGUCUCAGCUGUUUCGCCGGUUUUCCAUGGUUUCGGCCGUGGUGACUGGUGUUGUAACUUUGAUUAAAUCAAUGUGAUUAAAACAGGCGUUUGCUUGUAUGCUUUAUCAUGGAAUAAUAGAAUAUGACUUCGGUCCAUUCUGUUGGUCUUGGGAUCGAAGUAAUGAUUAAAAGGAACAACUCGGGGGCAUCCGUAUCGCUGCGUGAGAGGUGAAAUUCUUGGACCGCAGCGAGACGACCUAUUGCGAAAGAUUUGCCAAGAAUGUUUUCAUUAAUCAAGAAC
rnacentral:rRNA from 1 species